AGUUAUUUAGCUUAUUUAAAGCUUGUAUUUUGAAAAUACAGGAAAGAGUCUACUUUAAUAGCUU
rnacentral:tRNA from 1 species